rnacentral:lncRNA from 1 species
ACUCUCUCUCUUUCUCUCUCUCUUUCUUUUCACUCUCUCUCUCUCUCCCCCUCUCUUCUUCUCUUGCGGGCAGAGAAGAAACCCACGCGCGCACGCGGUGAUGUCUUACUGGUGAUAAUUGGCCCAGGGGUCGUUAUGAACAUACCUCUCUCUGCUUGAGGACCAGCUCAGCCCCUCAUGUCCCCGAAAUGCUUUGCAAAGACACCGCUCACCCGCCUGUGUCUUCUUUUGAGCUCUGGAGCACUGUUGAUUGAUCAUCCGUGUAAGCCAAUCCUAUACAAGUCCACCCUGUUUAACCAGGUCAAACGCAAAUGCCUUCCGUGUUCUGUCAGAAGAGUGCAUGUGCCCGGAGGGUGAGGAUCAAUGCUUCUCUCGCACCAAUUAAGACCACUCUUUGACUGCUCACAGCAAAUGUUCCCGAACAGUGGAUUUGGAGGAGGGGUUCUGCUUUUCUCAGACCGUGAGAGGCAUGGAUCACAGCAUCUGUAGCUGAGUGGCGUGUUACCGUAGGAAGAGAGAAGCCUCUCUUGAUACUUAUGUGUAGCUUUAGCGUAGAUCUGUCGCGUUAGUCUCACCAGCCAAACUGAUCUCCUCACAUACAGCAUCUCUGCUCCCAACGGUGAGGAGCAGCGAGGCAGGAAGAGCUGCCUAGGCUUGCUGUGGCACGCCUCCCUGGGUGCUCUAUCUUACCUUGUGUCAGCCGUGCUAUAGAUGACCCCUCCUAUGUCUAAGCAGUGUUGAAAAUAUUGUUUUAGUUCAAUAUAUAGCCAUCUCUAACGAAAUCUGUGCUGUUUUAGCAGAAUUAUUAAUAAACAGUUUUCUUUCCGCUCAAAAAAAAAAAAAAAAA